rnacentral:rRNA from 1 species
AACGACGCUGGCGGCAGGCCUAACACAUGCAAGUCGAGCGCGCCCUUCGGGGUGAGCGGCGGACGGGUGAGUAACGCGUGGGAACGUGCCCUUUGCUACGGAAUAGUCUCGGGAAACUGGGGGUAAUACCGUAUGUGCCCUUCGGGGGAAAGAUUUAUCGGCAAAGGAUCGGCCCGCGUUGGAUUAGGUAGUUGGUGGGGUAAUGGCCCACCAAGCCGACGAUCCAUAGCUGGUUUGAGAGGAUGAUCAGCCACACUGGGACUGAGACACGGCCCAGACUCCUACGGGAGGCAGCAGUGGGGAAUCUUAGACAAUGGGCGCAAGCCUGAUCUAGCCAUGCCGCGUGAGCGAUGAAGGCCUUAGGGUUGUAAAGCUCUUUCGUGGGGGAAGAUAAUGACUGUACCCCAAGAAGAAGCCCCGGCUAACUCCGUG